rnacentral:lncRNA from 1 species
CUCUCUCUCUCUCUCUUCUCUUCUUUUUGUCCCUUUCCUCUCUUCCUCCAUCCGAAGCUUCCUCCCCUUUUUAAGAAUGUAAAGUAUUUUUUAUUAUAUAAAUAUUAUUAUUUUUAUUAUUGUUUAGUAUUUUUUUAUUUUAUUAUUGCUUAUUAUUUCUUUUUCUUUUUCUUUUUUCUUUUCGUUCCUUUUUCCUCUUUUUCUUUCGGCGCGGCUCUCUUUCGGCGCACUACCUGAGAAUCAAAUUUUUUUAACAAAAUUGACAGCUUCAGCCCCUCCAACUUUUAAUACAUUAAUCAUCUCAAUUUUAAUGUCUUCUUUAAUUUAAUCCCACAAGUUCUAAAUCGUUCAAUUUAAAUUACAUAACUACCAAAGUCCUAAAAUAUAUAUAUAUAUAUAUAUAUAUUUAAAUUAAUAAAUAAUUUGAAACUUACAUAAGAGGCUUGGUGUUUGUGAAACAAACAAACAAAAAAAUUAGACCCAACCCCACCGUUGAUGUGGGCCCAAGACCGACUCAUUUGUCAAGUCGGAAAUAGUGGCCGAACAUCGAACUUAACUAAAUCUAAAUCGGGAUUUUCUCUACGCAUUUCAAGUCCCUCCUUAGAUAUGGGAUUUGUACAUAGAACAUAAUCGUGGGCUAAUAUUACAGUAGCUCUGAAACUUAUCAUCCAUCCGAUUGUUCAUGUAUUCUUCAAACUUGGUGUAUAUCUGCUAUAGUACCGCCGCACUUUUGUUGCCUCCAGCCAAGAAAAUUUACAUAAUCUGCCAACUGAAACAUUUGAAUAGUAGUAUUAGUUGAAUAGGAUAUGAAAUAAAUCAUUUACAGUAUAUUGUUAAUUUAAGCUAUAUUAAAUAGUAUAAAAAUUGUGGACUCAGACACAACUAACAGUUGGCAAAACUAUGUACAUGCACACUCUCUUACAUCUGAAAAAUAUUGUGGACAACAACAAUACUUACAAGUCUCAUCAAUCAGAAUUAUCCAAAAAUUAAAGGCAAUUUAAAGUAGAGGCGAAUCUAACAUGUUCCAAGGAGAGGUACCUAUCCCUCCUCAACUUUCUAAAAAACAUCAUUAAUUAGCCCAUGAUUAUUAAUUCACUUUGUCCUACAUGUCUCUAGUUUUAUGUUAUCUUUUUUAGAACCCCAAUAAAUUCUCAUGGCUUUGAAGUUUAAUUCAACCUUAUAUCUUCAUGCGGUAUCAUUUUAUCUGAGUUACUUCAAAUGUUUGGAGGGGUUUAAAAAUAUUGGGAAUCAAUUCAUUUAUUUAAACUACGUGGACCAAAAAUUUCAUUUAAGUAAUAUACAUAUCAUAAUUAAAAUUAUGUUAUCAAGGUUUGGUUUGAAUCCGUGAUCCAACUUCUUUUGAAUUUAUCUGUUACAUCUCAACCAAAAUAUUCUGAUUUCAAGCCACUUUUAUGGUAACGACGUAAAGUGUUCUAGGGUAUCUAAUAAUAUUUUUCAAAUGUUAGGAGUGUUCCAUGUAUUUUACAUUAAAAUGUCAGAAAGGGUCGUGCUGUAUUUUGUACCAAAUAUUCGAAAAGAGGGCUAAUAGUACAUUUUCUGAAGAUAUGGAAUGAGGGUGGACAACCUUUUCUCCUUUAGAUGUCAUAACCCAUUUCAUUAAUUGAGUUGAGAGAGCAAGAAACAUAUCUUCUAUAGGCUGGAAGAUGUUUCCAUUUGACUCAGAUCCCAGCCUGAACAUACUCAAGAAAUUUAUAUUUGAUUAUUAUUGUCAAAGAAAGCUUAUUAAGCAUGCAAUAUUAAUCAUACAUCCAUAAUAACCAACCUCUCUCAACGGCAUUAGUUAAAGCGUCAAGUUCUCCAGUGUACCGUAAACGUCAUCCACUCAUCGAUUGUUGUUAUGAGGGAACCGACAAUCGUGAUAUUUUUCCGAAGAUACGAAUUGGGGCUUGAAGUCCUUCCAAUAGUCCACAAGAAAUGUCCAAUCAACAGCUGUCCCCUAGCCAAGCUCAAUUUUUUGUCGCCAUCCUGUAUUAUUCCACCACCUACAUAAAAACAAUAAGACUAAAGAAUAUGAAAAUGACCAUAAAUAUAUAAUAACUAUUUAACUAUUUUUUUAUUGGACUUGCCUUGUUACGCUGGACAAUAAAAAAAACUACUUUUUCUUUAAUUUUCAUUCUAUAGAAUAGAGUAUAAUUUUGUACGGAGAUUUGUGAGUAGUCUUUUUGAUAAAUAAAGAAACUUGUUUAAAGAGCAUCAAAUGCAGACGCAUCGCGUGUAGAAAGUUAAAACUAUGAUUAAAUUUUAAAAAAACAAGUCCAUUUAACCAUACACGGGACAUUCGAUAAAUUUAGAAUAACUCCUAAUAUUUUUAAAAUCGUUAAAAUUAAAAUAUAUAGAGAGGGUAACUUUAAUUAUUUUUACUCUAAAUGGUGUCCGUUCACUGUGUAGUGGCUAGACUCUUCUUUGUAUUAUUCUGCUUUGAUCUCAUAUUAAGUUAUUGACCAUCAACCUCAACCAUCUAAACACUCAGCAUUUAAAAUGAUGAAUUAACUCUUAUAUAUCAAAUCCUCAACAACAAGAUUUACAAACAAAUAUAACACUUCAAUUAUUUUAUUUAAUUAUCAUCUUUUAAAAAAAAACAUUUAUUUGGGUAAUUAUUUUAAUUUAAAGAAGUCUUUGGCACGAUGAAAUUUUUGAAUAACUAAAGAGGUUAAUUUGUGAUAUUUUUUCAAAUAAUAAGUAUGUACCGUGGGUGGUUGUGACCCUAAGGUACUCUAAAUGCGAUAAUUGGAUUCAUGGGCUGAGGCCCUUGAGAUAACAUUUGGCAUUUGGUAUUAUUAUAGUUAUGGUUCCCAUUAUAGUUAUGGUUCCUACUUUACUGUUAUUCUAUAUUGUCGUUACUAUUUUAUACUUUUACUUAUCUCGUUGCGGUUCUUGUGAGUAUAGAUUUUUUGUUGAGACGGUAUUUAUGACGAUUCAGUUAUAAUUUCUUGGACAGUCGAAUUAUUUUCUCCAACGUAUGCCAUCUGAAUCCGUUAUUGCUUGACAUCUUUAUCAUUCACUAAGCUUUCGAAUGACGCUGUUUUUUAAACCAUUUUAAGUUGAGUCCCGUUUAGAUAAUGAGUAUUUGUGACCUCAUUGGGACCCACUAUUGGACCUCUAGAUAAACUUUAUUUUCAUAUAGUUAUUUCAUUUAGACAUUUUUGGAUAUCUAGCAUCUUAUCUUUAUUUUAUAGUUGGUUAGAGGUUGGUUUAUUAUGAUUGUUUGUGGCUUCAAUUAGAGUCAUAAUAGUUAGUUUGGAUUAUUCCUUUUUUAUAAAUAUUUUAGUGGAUAUUUUAGUGUUAGGUCUUUGUGAGCUCCUUGUGUUUACGCCGAUCGUGUUCCAAAUUUGGGGUGACACAAAAAGUCCAAAUUAUCAUGUUGACGUAACUGUAUCUCACCUUGACAUAAUUCUUUAAAAAUCUUCUUCUUUGUGAGUGGCUUGAACCACUUGAAGUCCAAUUUAGCAAGUAGUGAGUAAGGUUUGACUCAAAUUAAUUCUUCUUUCAUACACAUCAAUGAACCAUCUUGAUUCCUAAGCCUUGCAUCCUCCAAUGUGUUGGAACCUCCAGGGCAUGACUCACUAAUAUUAUAAGGUCCCCAUCAUCAUCAUGUCCAUCCUAUUGAGGGAUAUUUUUGAGAUUUUUAGUGGCGAAAUCUCUAGCUCCUCCAAUAUUCCUUUCACCCGCAAAUGAAAAAUAUGAGGCUUCAUACGAUAUAGCAAUCCUUUACAUCCUCAUAGAUAUCGUUCUUGAAUUUCCCGACUUCGUCUGUAAAUUCUUAAACAUUGCAAUCAAAGUUUUCAAAUUACAAUAAGGGUGUUUGCUUUUAACCAAAAAAAAAAUUCUAUCACCGCUUGUCCAUAUGAGUGAUACCUUACAAUUAUAUUAAAGUGAUCAUUUAGUAUUUCCAUGGUGCUAAAAGUAUUUGCCAAAUUUAAAUCAUAAGGGAGUGCAAUGUAAUAUGCUUAACUUUCUGGGAUUGGCUUAAUGUUUUUUUUUUUCCCUAAAACUUUAGGAGAACAUGUGUCAGUGAGUGUUUUGUUGUGGUUAAAUUUGUGCUAAAGUUAAUUAUUCACAAGCUCUGCUAUAAAUAUUCUAGCACACUUUUCAAGAAAAAAGUAUUAAAAUAGAGCUCUAAAACUGAUAAAGCCGCACUUGCAACCAACAGAUAGAAUUUUAAAGUAAAAUCUGCAGCAACAUUCUAACAUUCUAACAACGGCUUUCAAGAUAAAAAAUUAGAUGAUGCAACUAAGAGGCGUAUCCAGGAACCAUUGUGUACCUUCAGAGUAUAUAACCCUGUUUUCUCAAAAGUCUAAAUUUGAGGUUGUGGCUGCAAAUCCUCCUCUGUAUCCAACCCUCAUUUAUUUGGUUUGUAGUGCCUCCAAGAUUCUAUAAUUGAUUAUAUCCUCAAGUGAUAAACCACUCCAAGCCUUUGCAAGUCAUCAUUAAUCCAAGUCCAUCCCAUUUAUCCACACUACUUUGGUCAAGCUUCUCUUCACAUCUUCCUUAAAAUUGCAACCCUUUUUUCAUAAGUGUCUCCCGACAAUAUAUAUGUUUGUUAGCAACAAGACAAAUUUUAUGUAACACGAUGUGUUUUACCAUAAAAAUAUUACGUAGCAAUUGUUUAUGGUAAAUAUUGUGGAAUAAUUGGGUGUAGUUAUAAUUCGUGUGGUAAAUAUUUCGAAAGGAGUAUAUAUUAAAACUCGUAAAAAAUUAUAUGUUACGCAUUAUUAUAGUAAAUGUACAAUCUUUUGUGUAAAAAAAGUUUUUAUAUUUUUUGUUUACGAUCGUUUUGUAAAUGCUACGAUCGAUUUGUGAUAAUGUUAUUCUAGGACCACAAUGUACAUCAUUUUUACGGAUAUGUACUGAAUCACUCCCUAUAAACAAUUAACUUCCCAAGAUCACACAACUUAAAAUUUUUUAGUGCCUUCCCCCCUUCAAAAAUGUAGUAUUUAAGUAUGUGUAGUUAAAAUUGUGCAAUGUUAAUUUUUGUACUAAAUUUGGCACAAUAACUAGCUAUUUUGUGGCUACACUUUCGGCUUGACCCACCAUAGUUAUUGGCUGACAGCAAAAUUUAUUGCAACUGGUUGUAGAGAGAAUAGUGGACAAUUGUGUACAAAAAAUGGGAAUGCGUGAGAUUUUUUUUGGUGUACAAAAUAGCAUAGAGUAUGUUUUCUAUUUUAAAAUUAAUAUAAUUUUGUUGACUUAGAGUUUUUAAAAAAAAACUAAUUAAACUAAAAAAGUAUUCUCAGUAUUUCCUUGGAAACACAAUUUUUUAUUUUGUUUAUGUAUUUUGAAAUAAUAAUAAAUUUUUCUACUUUCCCAGCCACAGUAAAAAAAUAGCUAAAUUUCUAUUAAUUAUUAGUUAAAUAUUGAUCAUUAAUUCAAAAUAGUAAAAUUGUCUUGACAAUUAAAUUGAUGUUGCACGUUUUUUUUUCAAAAACCCCUAAAAGUGAAAGCGACGUUUCACGUGGGGAACAGGAGCGUUGUCUAACAUUUGGGUUCGUUUGGCUGGAGGAUAUGGGAGGGGAUAAAGUUUAGAGGGGGAUAAAUUUUAGAGGGGGAUAAAUGUUUGGAGGUGGAUAAAUUUUAACGUUUUGUUUUGGAUACUUUUUAGAAUGGGUGGAUAAGGGUGGAUGAUAAGGAAAAAAAUAUAUAGAGAGAAACAAAUAUAAAUAUUUAGAUAUAAAUAUAUAUUUGAUUUCUAUAUAUAUAUAUAAAAAAAAAUUAUACAUUUUAUUUUUGUUUUUAUAUAUUUUUUUUCUAUCCCCACCCCCUUAUCCCCCCCGGAUAACUUUUUAGUUUGGGGUUCUAAGCCACCCAAAAAUUAUCCGCCUCUAUCCACAUCCGGGGGCAUAAAUUAUCCGCCCCCAUAUCCGUCAUCCAAACAACCGGGAGAAAAAAUUAUUCGGGGAAAAAAAUUAUCUCCCCUCUUAAUCCGGUAGCCAAACGACCCCUUUGAUCCUUUCACAUAAACAAAUUAACAUGCGUAUGAUAGAGGACAAGUCUUUGAUUUGAAUUUAGUGGCUCCACUUGAGAAGAGUAUUAUGUGGUUCUCCGGGCUACAUUGGUUUUCCCCAAGGAAAAUAUCUUGAGAUUGCAAGUGCGUAUAUACGUGGCGUACGAUGGUCACUAGCAGGCUAAAACAAUAAGCACUGAACGUUCUCCCGGAAUUCUCAAGUUCUUUAGGAAUGUCUCUUAAAUAAAUUAGUGUUGGUUUUGGCCUUGUCAAUACCUCCCCUCUUUUAGCUUCAAAGCCACAAGGUUGAGUCCUCAAGCUAUGCUUCACAAGAAAAACUGUCAUUUAUGAUAUACAGAGCCUAGCCAAACCAAAAGAUCCAAAGAUCGCGGAUCUACCAACCUUCAAUUUGGGACUACAACUAUGUUCAAUCCCUAAAUAAGUAAUAUGUGGUAUGUGUGGAUGGUUCUAUUACAAGCCGGAGUAUAUAUUUCUUAGGACUUGUUUGGUUGGAGGAUCGUCUAGGGAUAACUUUUAUCCCCCGGAUAACUCCCUUUAUUUAUAUCAGCUUUGGCAUGGUUUAAAACACUCCGGAUAACUUUUUCUCCUUAAACAAUAUUUCCUAAAAGCGGGCGGAUAGAGGCGUAUAUUUUUGGGUGGCCCUCACCCUAACCAAAAAGUUAUCUGGCUAUUCAUAAAUCUAUCUAUAUUCUAUGUAUGAAUAUCUUUUAUAUUGAUAUUUAUAUAUGUAUAUAUAUGUGUAUAUUAAUAUAUUCAUAUCUAAGAUAUUUUAUAUUUUUCUUCCUUAUCCUCCAACCUUAUCCACUCCCUUCUAAAAAGUAUCCAAACAAAGUUAAAAGUUAUUCCCCUCUAAAACUUACCCGCCUACUCAUUCUACUGGCAAUCCAAAUGACCCCUUAAUGGGAAUAGAGUACUAGUAAUUGCCCUUUGCCAAGGGCACUACACACAAAAAAAGGCCACCUCUUAGACGUAUAACGAAGAUAUCAUUGCUCACAAAUAUAAAAUAAUUAAAAGUAUAAUAUUUGAAAAGUGAUGCUAAUUGGAGAAAUGAGAACAAAUAAAUGGGUGUUUUAAUUUUUUGGUGGGUCCCACCUAAAACAUAAUCUAAUAGGUAAUAUAUAAUACCGCAGAUUUAAUAAUUUUUUUGUUCAUUGGAUCAAAAUUUAUGUUGGGCACACAUCUUUUAAAGGAAGCAGUGAUAGUUUUUGGAGGAAAAAAAAAAAGAAUCUCAGGGUAAAAUCUCAACUGUUAAUUAACUCAAUAAAUUCAUCACCGGAUUUAUGAAAAGAUGUUUUAAAUUCAAAUGAGUUGUAUUUUAUAUUAUAGAUUUUUUUUACAUUUUAGUCAAAUUUUAUGCAUAGUAUAUAUUUUUUUAUUUCUAUUAAAUUUACUACAAACAUCGAUAAUCCAACAACUGCUUUUGGAGGAUCUAGAAUUUAAAAUAUCUCAAGUUUUUACAACUCUUCACCGGUGAUCUAGACAGUUUAAAUUUCACUUCCAAUCAAAUUUUAAUGUUAGUCUACACUGUUUUGAAUAGGACCAAUUCAAAAUAUAAAUAAUAAAAUUUAGCUAUUUUUUUACCUUGCGGUGAAAAGAAUAAAAUUUUUUAUGUUACUAUUUCAAAAUAAAUAAACCAAAAAUAAAAUUUUAUUCCAAGAGAAUCGAAUUGCAAUAGUUGGUGGACCUGGUGGUUGGAAAGCAAAGCGGUUUUUUUAGAUCUAAGAUUUGAGAGAGAGAGGUGGUGAAGGAUAAUGGCAACUAUAACUUUAAUUGCAUUGUAUAAAUGUUCGAUCAGUGUGAUAUUUUAUUUCAGGAUAUACAAUAUGCAUUAUUUUUACGGAUGUGUAUUGUACUCCCUUAACAAUUACUUCCAAUUCAUACAAACUAACAAUUUUUUAGGUGCAAUCUUCAAAAGUGUAGUAUUUAUGUGCAGUGUACGUGUUAAAAUUGUGCAAUGUUGUUUUGUAUUAAAUUUGGCCACAAUAGUGCUAGGCUAUUUUGGGUUAUCAUUGACAACGCUACUAAAACAAUAUAUAUAUUUGGUGUCCAUAUGUUAUAAAACUAUAUAUUAUUUUGGAGUAGGUUGUUUUUUUUUUGUGUUAUUUGUAACAAACUUAUGGGAUAUUGUAAAAAUUUAAAUCCUCCAAUAGCAAGUUGUUGGAUUAUCGAUCUGAUAGUAAAAUUGUAAAGAAAUAACAAACAUAGGUAUGCCAUAAAUUUGUAAUAAAUAGCAAAAAAACAUCUAUAAUAUAAAAUACAACUCAUUUAGAAUCUCAAAACUAUCUUCCAUUUCUUACGGUUUGAAAUCGCAUUAGUAAUAUAACGGUGAGAUUCACCCGAGACUUUUUUUUCUCCCAAAAUUAUCACUUUUUUUUUUUCACAGAUGGGGCCCCAAUAAGUUAGGAUCCAAUGGAUAAAAAAUUAUAAACUGCAGAUAUUUACCAUGAAUAGUUUUUUAUGGGACCACAAAAAAAGUAAAAAACACCCAUUAUUUUUUCCUUAUUUCUCUCAAACUAGUAACACUUUUUUAAAAUAAUUAGUAUUUUAUUUGUUUUCUAUUUUGUAGCAAUGUAUCUAAUUUGUAUACGCCUAAGAGAUAGUCUUUUUUUGGUGGCAUGCUAGUAGCAAGAACAAUUACUAAUUUACUAUAUAUGCCACCAGGAUAUUAUACUCUGGCUAGAAUAGUAACCAUAAACACAUACAGCAUAUUACUUAUUAGGAAUUGAACAUAGUUGUAGUCUCAAAUGAAAGGUGUAGAAAGCGGAUCGCCUAUCGAUCUGUUGACAUGGUUUCGCCUAGGCUUCGUAAUCAUACAUGGAUGAAUGGGCAGUUUGUUUGUGAAGUAUAUUGCUUGAGACUCUAACCUGGUGGCUUUGGAAGCUUUAAAAGAAAAGGCAGUAUUACAAGGUCAAACCCCAACACUAAGAAGGACAUCCUAAAUGCACUGAGAGGGGGGCGGGGGGGGGGGUGGGGGGGGGUGGGGGGUGAAUUCCGUAGAACGCAGGUUGCUUGUUUGUUUGGCCUGCUAGUAUGUGACCUAGUACACCACUUAUCCCCUUGUUUUUCCUUGGAUUUGUUCCUUGUGGAACCAUUGUAGCACAGUAGAACCACAUACUCUUUCUCAAGUGGGAACCAAUUCAAGUAAAUACUGAAUUUUUUCUAUCAACGCAUGUUAAUUGUUCUGUCAAAGGAUAUAAAUGGGACAACAAUCCCACCGGGAACAUCCGCUUCCCACUUUUUAAAAGUGUUUUUGAAACAACGUGCAACAAAUGUUUUUGAGCUACGGCGCGGUUGAUUGAUCGAGACUUUCUGACUAAUGACCAAAUUUCAUUAUUCACUGUCAAUGAAAUUUCAUGUUUGGAUUGACCAAUAUUCAAAUAAUAAUUAAUAAAAUUUUGUUUUUUUUAUUGUGGCGGUGAAAAGAGGAAAAAUUUUAUUGUUAAUAUUUCAAAAGAAAAACUAAAAUUAAAUGUUUUUUCCGAGAGAUAAAGAGAUUUGACACUAAUGGUGGUGGAAGGCCAGGAAGCGUUAUAGAUCUCAGAUCUGAGAGAAAGCGGUGGGGAGGAAGGUUUGGUGUGGUAGUGGACAACUACAACUGUGAUGUGAGCGAAUUGGUGUGACACUGUGACGGACGGUGGUGUGGAAGGGUCGUGGAAGCGUUAUAAGAUAUCAAAAUUUGGAGGAGAGAUAUUUGACGGCGAUAGUGACGAUGAUGUCACACUAAUGCGGUGAUGUCAGGGUGGCGGUGAUGUGCGGUGGAACGGUGGUGGCAAGAAGACAACAAUCGCGGCGAUGGUGGCGUGAUUGUAACUGUAGCAGAGAAAUAAUAUCUAGAAAAUGUAAAGAGGAGUGAUUCAGAUCUAUUUUGACUCUUUUUCUCCUUUGUUAGUCUUUUGUAGUCUAGGGUUUAAAAAGCUUCUUCAUUAGAACACAAUUUUAUUAUGAAAAAUGAUAUUAUUCAUUUUGAUGAUUUGGGGGCAUUUAUUUGAAGGGCACUUUUAUAGUAACGACGUAUUA